rnacentral:rRNA from 1 species
GACGAACGCUGGCGGCGUGCCUAAUACAUGCAAGUCGAGCGAAUCGACAGGAGCUUGCUCCUGUUGGUUAGCGGCGGACGGGUGUGUAACACGUGGGCAACCUGCCUGUAAGACUGGGAUAACAUCGGGAAACCGAUGCUAAUACCGGAUAAUCCUUUCCUACACAUGUAGGGAAGCUGAAAGUCGGUUUUUAGCUGACACUUACAGAUGGGCCCGCGGCGCAUUAGCUAGUUGGUGGGGUAACGGCCCACCAAGCCGACGACGCGUAGCCGAUCUGAGAGGAUGAUCGGCCACAUUGGGACUGAGAUACGGCCCAGACUCCUACGGGAGGCAGCAGUGGGGAAUCUUGCGCAAUGGGCGAAAGCCUGACGCAGCGACGCCGCGUGCGGGAGGAAGCUCUUCGGGGUGUAAACCGCUGUCGGGGGGGAAGAACGGUCACGAGAGGCAAUGCUCGUGGUUUGACGGUGCCCCCAGAGGAAGCACCGGCUAACUCUGUGCCAGCCGCCGCGGUAACAC